CACGAGCGAGAUCACCACGGAGCUCGUCGUCCCGGCCGUGGAGGAGGACUCGUUCACGGACCUCCUGCAGCCGGACUCCGCCGCCGUCACCCUCGGCCUCGACUUCUCCGACUACCCGUCCAUCACCAAGAGUCUGGCCGACCCGGACCUGCACUUCGAGUGGCCGCCGCCGGCGUUCGACAUGGCGUCCUACUGGCCGGCCGGCGCCGGGUUCGCCGACCCGGACCCGACCGCCGUGUUCCUCAACCUCCCAUGAGCCCACUCGCCCGGCGGCGGCGGCGGCGGCUCAGGUGGGUGUGGGGGUUUCCAACUACACCCGAUGAUGAUUUCAUCAGUUUCCGAUUAAUUAGUAAAUUGCGCGUGGGGUAUAUGGUG
rnacentral:lncRNA from 1 species